GAUGAACGCUGGCGGCGUGCCUAAUACAUGCAAGUCGAGCGAACGGACGAGAAGCUUGCUUCUCUGAUGUUAGCGGCGGACGGGUGAGUAACACGUGGAUAACCUACCUAUAAGACUGGGAUAACUUCGGGAAACCGGAGCUAAUACCGGAUAAUAUUUUGAACCGCAUGGUUCAAAAGUGAAAGACGGUCUUGCUGUCACUUAUAGAUGGAUCCGCGCUGCAUUAGCUAGUUGGUAAGGUAACGGCUUACCAAGGCAACGAUGCAUAGCCGACCUGGGAGGGGGAUCGGCCACACGGGAACGGGGACACGGCCCAGAUCCCUACGGGAGGCGGCGUGAGGGAAUCUGCCGCAAUGGGCGAAAGCCUGACGGGGCAACGCCGGGGGAGGAAUGAAGUUCUUCGGUUCGUAAAACUUUUUUAUUAGGGAAGAACAUAUGUGUAAGUAACUGUGCACAUCUUGACGGUACCUAAGCAGAAAGCCACGGCUAACUACUU
rnacentral:rRNA from 1 species